AGGCGCUUAGCUCAGAGGAAGAGCAUUUGCAUGACACGCAAAAGGUCGCUGGUUCAAGUCCAGCAGUGCCUA
rnacentral:tRNA from 1 species